rnacentral:rRNA from 1 species
GGUGGUGCAUGGUUGUCGUCAGCUCGUGUCGUGAGAUGUUGGGUUAAGUCCCGCAACGAGCGCAACCCUUAAGCUUAGUUGCCAGCAUUCAGUUGGGCACUCUAAGGUGACUGCCGGUGACAAACCGGAGGAAGGUGGGGAUGACGUCAAAUCAUCAUGCCCCUUAUGACCUGGGCUACACACGUGCUACAACGGACGGUACAAACGGUUGCCAACCCGCGAGGGGGAGCUAAUCCGAUAAAACCGUUCUCAGUUCGGGUUGUAGGCUGCAACUCGCCUACAUGAAGCCGGAAUCGCUAGUAAUCGUGGAUCAGCAUGCCACGGUGAAUACGUUCCCGGGUCUUGUACACAC